CAGCAAUAGCUCAAAUUUGAAAUCUGGCGUCUUCGACGUCCGAGUUGUAAUUUGUAGAGGAUGCUUCUGAGUAACCACCGACCUAAGUUCCUUGGAACAGGACGUCAUAGAGGGUGAGAAUCCCGUAUGCGGUCGGAAAGGUGCUCUAUACGUAGCUCCUUCGACGAGUCGAGUUGUUUGGGAAUGCAGCUCUAAAUGGGAGGUAAAUUUCUUCUAAAGCUAAAUAUUGGCCAGAGACCGAUAGCGCACAAGUAGAGUGAUCGAAAGAUGAAAAGCACUUUGGAAAGAGAGUUAAAAAGCACGUGAAAUUGUUAAAAGGGAAGGGAUUGCAACCAGACUUGCUCGCGGUGUUCCGCCGGUCUUCUGACCGGUCUACUCGCCGCGUUGCAGGCCAGCAUCGUCUGGUGCCGCUGGAUAAGACUUGAGGAAUGUAGCUCCCUCGGGAGUGUUAUAGCCUCUUGUGAUGCAGCGAGCGCCGGGCGAGGUCCGCGCUUCGGCUAGGAUGCUGGCGUAAUGGUCGUAAUCCGCCCGUC
rnacentral:rRNA from 1 species